rfam:Triticum aestivum genome assembly, contig: Triticum_aestivum_CS42_TGACv1_scaffold_000473_1AL
UUAAUACUCCCUCCGUCCGGAAAUACUUGUCAUCAAAAUUGAUGAAAAUGAAUGUAUCUAGAACUAAAAUACAUCUAAAUACAUCCAUUUCAAUGACAAGUAUUUCCGGAUGGAGAAAGUAGAUG